CCUAUGAGCAAAUGAGCGGUGACAGAAAGGAGAAGUAGAGGGGAGAUACGUGAAAGUGAAAGGGAAGAGAGAAGAUUUUUCAGCGUGUUGUCCCUCAAAAGGCUAAGGUAGGUCGCGACAAGGCUAGCCUUCAGCUGGUUGGGUAAAGAAGAGUAGUUGAUACCAUUGUGAAUCACCUCGUUGAGGGUAAGAGUAGUUUAUACUCUAAAUCCCUAGAUUUAAGCUAAUAUAUUUGAUUUAGAUCAUUAUUUGUUAUAGGAUCGUAAUAAGGAUUGAUUGUUGUGGAUACUGUUGAAGGAAUAUGUGAUGACUAGCAAAACUUGAAUUGGUUGUGUUAUGUGAUGAAGAUGGCGGUUGGAAUUGAAUGUGAAGUGCAAUUAGGGUUUUUAAAGGUUGAAGAAGAUGAAAGGGGGCUUCAUGUGGGUCGGGUUGAUUGUACCCACGAGGGCCAGGCUUGGUUUAACCUAAUGGGUUUACCCAUAAGGAUUUAUAGAACGGGCUUAGUAAUUAAGUUGGAAGAGGAAAAAAAAAUUAAAAUGAAAGGGUAAAAAAAUAUAUAAAUAUAUAAUAAAUGAGUAGCCUAUAAAGGAAGUCGGGUAUAUGAAGUCCAUAAGUAAAAUGGGCCUAGUGAGGGGUCCAAAAUUUUAGUGGAUUAAAUCUAAUGAAAGGAAAAAUAAAUAAAUAAAUAAAUAAAUAGGGAAAGGAAAUCCCAACUUGAAUGGGUUGUGCACAUAGAAGAAUAAAGGAAUUCCAGUGAUGAAUUGGGCCAAACCUGAAGAAAUUAAGCAAAAAAAAAAAGGAGAUUAAAUUUCGUCGGCCUAGCCUAUAGGAAAGGGAUAAGAGUAAUUAAAAUUUCAAUGAGCCCAGCCCUUAGGAAUGGGUUAAGACAGAAGGAUAAAAUUCAGUUUGAUGGGUUACAUUAAUUCAAAACACAGAGAUAGGAAA